CAUAUGCUUGUCUCAAAGAUUAAGCCAUGCAUGUCUAAGUAUAAAUACUUUACCGUGAAACUGCGUACAGCUCAUUACGACAGCAAUAAUUUAUUUGAUGGUGACUACUACAUGGAUACCUGUGGUAAUUCUAGAGCUAAUACAUGCGAAAAGUCCUGACCUUUGCGGGAAGGGAUGUAUUUAUUAGAUAAAAAACCAACACGUCCUUUACUGGGCGACCCUGUUGGUGAUUCAUAAUAACUGACGGAGCGCAUACGAGGGCAACCUCUGCCGCUAGUUCAUUCAAAUUUCUGCCCUAUCAGCUUUCGACGGUAGUGUAGUGGACUACCGUGGCUAUAACGGGUGACGGAGAAUUAGGGUUCGAUUCCGGAGAGGGAGCCUGAGAAAUGGCUACCACAUCCAAGGAAGGCAGCAGGCGCGCAAAUUACCCACUCUCGAUACGAGGAGGUAGUGACAAGAGGUUCUAAAGGUUGGCCUUCGGGCCAGCUGAUUGGAAUGAACGCAUUGCAAAUGAGUGCGUGACAAACAACUGGAGGGCAAGUCUGGUGCCAGCAGCCGCGGUAAUUCCAGCUCCAGAAGCGUAUAUUAAAGUUGUUGCAGUUAAAAAGCUCGUAGUUGGAUUUCCCUCAACGGACGACGGCCGGGAGUUAAAAGCUUCCAGUGCCCGAGUCUUUGAGGUCAUUCUGGUAAUUCACUUGUCGGGCAUUUACUUGUCCGAUGAGGGUUUUCUGGAACAUUUACUGUGAAAAAAUUAGAGUGCACAAAGCCGGCCUACGCUUAAUACAUUAGCAUGGAAUAAUAAUCUAGGACUUCGGUCCAGUUUGUUGGUUUUCUGGAGUGAAGUAAUGAUUGAUAGGGAUAGUUGGGGGUGCUCGUAUUGAGUGGCCAGAGGUGAAAUUCCCGGAUUCACUCAAGACGAACGAUAGCGAAAGCAUUCACCAAGGAUGUCUUCUUUAAUCAAGAACGAAAGUUGGGAGAUCGAAGACGAUCAGAUACCGUCGUAGUCUCAACUAUAAACUAUACCACCUAAGGAUCUGUAGUAGUCAUUUUUUGACUCUAUGGGCACUUUAGGAGAAAUUAUAAGGUUUCAGGUUCCGGGGGGAGUAUGGUCGCAAGGCUGAAACUUAAAGGAAUUGACGGAAGGGCACUCCAGGAGUGGAGCCUGCGGCUUAAUUUGAACUCAACACGGGAAAACUCACCAGGUCCAGACAUAGUAAGGAUUGACAGAGGGAAGAUCUUUCUUGAUUCUAUGGGUGGUGGUGC
rnacentral:rRNA from 1 species